ensembl:lncRNA
GGGAGGAAGUGUCAUUUUACAGCCUCUCCACCUUUAACGGCUUACUUGUUCAGGAAUAAAGAGCAACUCAGAGCCUUCAGCAAGAAACAGGAUUUUAUUAGGCUCAAAGAAUCUUAUUUGGCUUUCCUUGUAUUUCAUUUUAUGGUGACUUCCUCCUUAUGGGAAAUGAUAGUGGUUUCCCAUUUGAGGUGAGAAAACCAGGUGUCAGACGGCAGAAGUAGCCCACGCAGGGUCACACAGCAAGUCUGGGGUUUGAACCCAGUAUUCCAUCGUAGGGAUGUACCGGUUUAUGGAAACCAUCCCUUGUCAAUGAACAUUUCAUUAUUUCCAGUCUUUUGCUGUAACAAACAAUGCUACAGUCUUUGGACAUGAGGGAGCGGAGAGAAACUCCAAGACAAUUUCCUAGAAGCCAAAUUGCUAGGUCGAAAGUUUGUGCAUUUGCACUUUUAAUGGAAAUUUCUGGAUGGUCCUCCAUCGAGAUGCUGCCAUCCACUCCUGCUGGCAGAACUGGUGAGCGCCUGUUUCCCACAACCUCCACAGCACGGGGUGGUGUUGAAGUUUUGAUCUCUGCCAAUGGGAUCCAGAAGGAUGAGCGUGUCUUCCUGCAGCUUUCAUAGGUGUCUUUCGUUCCGCCAGAUGAAUCUUUUCACAUUGUACAGCCACAAAGCAGCUGAGGCAGAGGCGCUUCUCAAGGUCCGCACGGCACAGGCUGCCUCCAUGUGAGCAUCCCAUCUUGGGAGGUGACCCAGCGGAGGUGUGAGGAGGCCAGCAGCCAGUUGGCCCGGCAGGGGCUGUGCUUUUGAGAACCAUCUCGACUCCCUCCGUGUCCUGUCUUCUUGGCUCUUCCUCUCUUCCUAGAUGUGCUGUCACAUCCAGAGGUGUCACUUCCAGAUGUGUGGGCUGUCACGUCUCUAUCAUCUCCCUGCAUCUCUGCACCCUGACAGGCCACCCCAGAGUUCCCGCCCCCAUUUCCUUCUUCUUGCCAUUUAGCCUUUCCUUGGCCCAGAGUUUCGGGAAGGCUGGGCUAAAGUGACAUCCGUCCCCCCUAGUUGGCUCCACAAGACACCAGGGAAAAGGUUAGAGUCUUAAACCAUCUCAGCUGGUCUAGCAUUUAGUGACAGUCCAGCCCACACCCGCUCAUUGUGGGUCAGCGUGCAGAGAGGGUGUGUGUGUGUGUGUGUGUGCCAAUGUGCAUAUAUUGGUGUGUAUUGCAUGGCUGUGUGUCUCUGUGGCAGGCCAGAGUAAAGGAAAAACUGCCUGCUUCUGGGGCCAGGACAGACCUGGGCUUGAACCCCUGCCUUGCCUCUGGCCAGUGGAGUGAUGUUGGGCUAGUUCCUCACCGUCUGUGAGCAUCAGUUCUCCAGUCUAUGAAGUUGGAAUGACAGUCACAGAGCCGAUCCCUGCCAGCCUGGCUGAGUCACCUCCCCCCACUCGCACCUUGCUCCCUCUGCUCCAGCCACUUUCCCUUUUUGCUAGUCCUUGAACAAACCAAAUUCUUCCCGCCGCAGGGCCUUUGCCCUUGCUGUUCCACCUGCCUGGAACUUUCCCCACAUCUUUCCAGGCUCCUCUUCUUCCUCCAGGUCUCAGGUGAAAUAUCACCUUCUCUGAGAAGCCCUCCCUGCCCACUCGGAAGGCCUUGUGCCCCACCCCAGGCCCUGCAGCCUGUCUCUAAUCCAUAACUCUGUCUUAUUUUGUUCACUUGUCAAUGAUCACUUGAAAUGAUCUCAUUUAUUUGUUAAAUUGCCUAUUGUCGGUCCUCCUGCCCCACUAGAAGGUCCGAGCCCUGAGGGCAGGGAUAUUGCAUCCUCCUGUUGGCACAGAGCCUGGCGUCUACAGGUGUUCAGUGAACAAUGGCUGAGUGAAGGAAUGUGAGGUGCUCC